rnacentral:rRNA from 1 species
UCGAAACCUGCCCAGCAGAGCGACCCGUGAACAUGUUCAACUUCGUGGGUGUUGGGGCGUUGCUCGGUGCCUUGUGCGCCAGCUCGCCCCUCUCCCAGGCCGGGGGAGCUCUCACUGUGGGCAGUUUCCCCGUCCAACCAACGAACCCCGGCGCGUAAAUGCGUCAAGGAAUAUAAACUUUAUGUGUGUGCUCUCUUAUCUCCCGGUUAGCCGGGCGUUGGAGUGGUGCCAUGUCUUAACAAUAAACGACUCUCGGCAACGGAUAUCUCGGCUCUCGCAUCGAUGAAGAACGUAGCGAAAUGCGAUACUUGGUGUGAAUUGCAGAAUCCCGUGAACCAUCGAGUUUUUGAACGCAAGUUGCGCCCGAAGCCUUUGGCUGAGGGCACGUCUGCCUGGGCGUCACGCAUCGCGUCUCCCCCAAAAUCAACCCUUGGUAGAGGGGAAGGAGGAUGGUUUCCCGCGACUCACCGGUCGCGGUUGGCCUAAAAUUGGAGCCCUCGGCAUCGGGAUGCCACGGCGAUAGGUGGUGAACAAGGCCUCGGCCAAGCAAGCAACCCGUCGCGCAUGUCGUGCCAGUGUGGGCUCGCAGGACCCUUUGUCGUUGCCUUUGAGGCAACCAAACCGUU